UACGUAGGGCGCAAGCGUUGUCCGGAAUUAUUGGGCGUAAAGAGCUCGUAGGCGGCUUGUCACGUCGGGUGUGAAAGCCCGGGGCUUAACCUCGGGUCUGCAGUCGAUACGGGCAAACUGGAGUGUUGCAGGGGAGACUGGAAUUCCUGGUGUAGCGGUGAAAUGCGCAGAUAUCAGGAGGAACGCCGGUGGCGAAAGCGGCACACUGGGUCUUAACUGACGCUGAGACACGAAAGCCAGGGGAGCGAACGGG
rnacentral:rRNA from 1 species